rnacentral:tRNA from 4 species
GGGCCGGUGGCGGAACUGGCAGACGCGCGUGGCUUAGGACCACGUGGGGCAACCCGUGGGGGUUCGAGUCCCCCCCGGCCCA